CGCCUGGGGAGUACGGCCGCAAGGUUAAAACUCAAAUGAAUUGACGGGGGCCCGCACAAGCGGUGGAGCAUGUGGUUUAAUUCGACGCAACGCGAAGAACCUUACCUGGCCUUGACAUCCAGAGAGCUUUCCAGAGGUGGAUUGGUGCCUUCGGGAACUCUGAGACAGGUGCUGCAUGGCCGUCGUCAGCUCGUGUCGUGAGAUGUUGGGUUAAGUCCCGUAACGAGCGCAACCCCUAUCCCUGGUUGCUAGCAGGUAAUGCUGAGAACUCCAGGGAGACUGCCGGUGACAAACCGGAGGAAGGUGGGGAUGACGUCAGGUCAUCAUGGCCCUUACGGCCAGGGCUACACACGUGCUACAAUGGCGCGUACAGAGGGCUGCCAACUCGCGAGAGUGAGCCAAUCCCUUAAAACGCGUCGUAGUCCGGAUCGGAGUCUGCAACUCGACUCCGUGAAGUCGGAAUCGCUAGUAAUCGCGAAUCAGAAUGUCGCGGUGAAUACGUUCCCGGGCCUUGUACACACCGCCCGUCACACCAUGGGAGUGGAUUGCACCAGAAGUAGUUAGUCUAACCUUCGGGAGGACGAUUACCACGGUGUGGUUCAUGACUGGGGUGAAGUCGUAACAAGGUAACCGUA
rnacentral:rRNA from 1 species